GACGAACGCUGGCGGCGUGCUUAACACAUGCAAGUCGAGCGGUAAGGCCCUUUCGGGGGUACACGAGCGGCGAACGGGUGAGUAACACGUGGGUGACCUGCCCUCAGCUCUGGGAUAAGCCUGGGAAACUGGGUCUAAUACCGGAUAUGACUCCAUGACGCAUGUUGUGGGGUGGAAAGCCUUGUGCGGCUGAGGAUGGGCCCGCGGCCUAUCAGCUUGUUGGUGGGGUGAGGCCUACCAAGGCGACGACGGGUAGCCGGCCUGAGAGGGCGACCGGCCACACUGGGACUGAGACACGGCCCAGACUCCUACGGGAGGCAGCAGUGGGGAAUCUUGCGCAAUGGGCGAAAGCCUGACGCAGCGACGCCGCGUGAGGGAUGACGGCCUGGUUGUAACCGUCUUCUACGCUCCGACGAACGACGAGAGGUGACGGUA
rnacentral:rRNA from 1 species